ACUGCCUGUGUAUUAUGUCUCUGUCGGUUAUCGAGUUUUUGACUCAGAGUUGUAGCUGGCCUUCCAGAGGCAUGUGCACGCCCUGCUCAAUCCGCUCUACACCUGUGCACUUACUGUGGGUUACGGAUCGCGAAGCGGGCUUCCUUGUCCGUUUAUAAGCGCGUCCGUGGCCUGCGUUUAUCACAAACUCUUUGAAAGUAUUGGAAUGUAAUAUUGGGAUAUAAUGGAUCUAUAUACAACUUUCAGCAACGGAUCUCUUGGCUCUCGCAUCGAUGAAGAACGCAGCGAAAUGCGAUAAGUAAUGUGAAUUGCAGAAUUCAGUGAAUCAUCGAAUCUUUGAACGCACCUUGCGCUCCUUGGUAUUCCGAGGAGCAUGCCUGUUUGAGUGUCAUGAAAUCUUCAACUUGCAAGCUCUUUGCGGAGUUUUGUAGGCUUGGACUUGGAGGGCUUGUCGGCCUUUUAAUGGGUCGGCUCCUCUUAAAUGCAUUAGCUUGAUUCCUUGCGGAUCGGCUGUCGGUGUGAUAAACGUCUACGCCGUGACCGUGAAGCGGUUUGGACGAGCUUCCAACCGGUCUUGCUUCAAAGACAACUUUUUAUGACCUCUCUGACCUCAAAUCAGGUAGGACUACCCGCUGAACUUAAGCAUAUCAAAAGGCCGGAGGAA
rnacentral:rRNA from 1 species